AGAACAAUAUUUAUAUUGUAACAGUUGCUAUUGUAAUGCAGUGUAUCACCACAUGGCGGCGCCUCCUGUCUCAUGA